rnacentral:rRNA from 1 species
CCUACGGGGGGCAGCAGUGAGGAAUAUUGGUCAAUGGGCGGGAGCCUGAACCAGCCAAGUCGCGUGAGGGAAGACGGUCCUAUGGAUUGUAAACCUCUUUAGGCGGGGAGCAAUGCCGGGCACGUGUGCCCGGAGGGAGAGUACCCGCAGAAUAAGCAUCGGCUAACGCCGUGCCAGCAGCCGCGGUAAUACGGAGGAUGCGAGCGUUAUCCGGAUUUAUGGGGGUUAAAGGGUGCGUAGGCGGAUUUUUAAGUCAGCGGUAAAAUGUCCGGGCUCAACCCGGGCCGGCCGUUGAUACUGGGGAUCUUGAGUGGGCGAGAAGUAUGCGGAAUGCGUGGUGUAGCGGUGAAAUGCAUAGAUAUCACGCAGAACUCCGAUUGCGAAGGCAGCAUACCGGCGCCCGACUGACGCUGAGGCACGAAAGCGUGGGGAUCGAACAGGAUUAGAUACCCCUGUAGUC